AUAUUGUGUUUUUAAUACUUAAAUGCAAGAACAAAGUUAAGUUUUCCUUAUUAAAAUGCAAAGCCUAGUGUCUUCUAGCCUUUUGAAGAGCUUUUGUUCAUUAUAUAAUCUGUAAAGUAGCCAAGAGUUCCUCAGAAGCAGGACAUCAUUUAGGUUUAAUACAAUUAUGGCUUGUGUGUAAAAUAAUGUUGUGGCUUAACUGUUCAUACUUUAGUGGCAGAAUCCUUAGUUCAAUUCACCUUAAAGACUUUACCAAGGUUCCUGAGAACAAAAAUGAUUAGGCAUUUUGAUUCUACCAAAGUUUACAUGUCUAGAAAGCUAAAUGACACAGUUAUAAGCAUAGACCUUUUAUUUUUUUCCCAGAUGUUUGACAGUGUAAACAUACAUAAAAUACAUAUUAAAGUUUAGAUGCUUUAUAUUUUGUGCAAUAAAUCGAAGCCUUAAAAAGAAAACAUCUCAUUAAAAAAAAUUAGUUUUACUUAAGACAGAAAAGUAGCAGCAAGUACCAAGACAUUGUGCACUUCUUUUAUUUAAGACAAGUUACUCAUUUACAUCAGAGUCAGAAAUGUAAGACUGGCUUUCUUGAAUACUUAACAUAGCUUGAAUCACUGGUUAGGUAGGGGCAUAUUUUCCCAACUGUACAUCAGGGAGGAGGCUUUCAUUAGUUUUAAGAAAAUGCUGACCCUCAGCCAGCCAGCAUGACCAUAGCAUUGAGCAUUAAGAGAAAUGAAACAUUUACUUCCCAAGCACAUGCCACAGAAGGUAAGUGAGUCUUUACAUUUGCAGUUGUUUCUUCCCUCUGUAAGUUAAGGGUUGUGCUUUGUUGAGGCAUUUCUGAGAAGUUUUUUGGCAUGCCACUAGUGAUACUUAGGGUCAUAGGUGUUGGGGAUGAUUUUGCUGAGCUAGUGAGGCUUGUGUUUGUAACCAUUCCAUCUUGGAGAUGAAUAGUUAGAGUUGCAGCUGCUGCUUCAUGGGAAUUGAUGGUUUCUGUAGAUGUAUCUUCUGGAUAGGGCUCCAAAGCCUUAUCAGUGCUAGUAAAGGUGGUGUCUUUGCUUAAUGUGACACCAAACGUUGUUUCCUUUGUUCGAUAUUUGGGUAUUUUGGUCACUUUGGGUUGAGUUACCAUACUCAGAGAAUUAAUGGUGUCCACUGUUUGCAUCCCACUUACAGUGAAUAAACUUGAGGUAAAUCCAGAAGGUGUGGGAUAUAUGUUAUGUUCCUUCAAGGAUGAUAUCUGGUUAGAACAAGGAGUUCCUAUCACAUGAGCUUUUGUUUCCAUCAUCCACUUAAGUAAGUAAGUAAUGUUUUGUUUAUGGUCACAUGACCACCUGUUAUUGUGAAGGGUUAUUUCUUGCAACUGCAAGAGUUGGUCAAAAGAUUGAUCUGGAAUGAAUGUGAACUUAUUGUUGUGCAGGUAAAGAUGUGUGAGGUUUGUCAGGUUUAUUAAUGUUCCUGGAAGGAUUUGUGUCAAGGAAUUAUUAGACAGGUCCACAAUAUGUAGUUUAGAGGGCAUGUUGGUUGGAACUGUCCAAAGUUUGUUACUGCUGAGGUUGAGGACCUCAAGACUUCUUAAUGUAUUUUUAAUGAGGACAACCUUUUCCAGCAUGUUCUUAGAAACAUCCAGAUAUUUAAGGUUCCACUGAUAAGCAGUAUCAGAUUUGUCAAGAAGUUUAAUAUUGUUGUUAGCAGCAGACAUGUUCCAGAGAGACCGAGGUAACUGAGCAGGCAGGCUUUCAAGCCUGUUGUUUGAAAUGUCCAGUGUCCUCAGAUUGGUAUAUUGGGUUAACUGGUUAUGCAGAUCAGUAAAGUGGUUAUAAGACAGGUUUAAAUGUAUAAUGUUCUCUUGGAGUCCGGAUGGUAAUGUAGUCAAGUUUCUGCCUGAACAGUCCACAUGCCUGUGUCUCUCUGUACAUAUACAUUGGAGAGGACAAAUGCAUAAAAUACCAGGUGUGAGAAACAGGAGGAUGAACAGGCAGGGAGACAUUUUCAAUAUCUGAUAUUCC
rnacentral:lncRNA from 1 species